rnacentral:rRNA from 1 species
UCCUGGCUCAGGAUGAACGCUAGCUACAGGCUUAACACAUGCAAGUCGAGGGGCAGCAUUGGAGUAGCAAUACUCAGAUGGCGACCGGCGCACGGGUGAGUAACACGUAUCCAACCUGCCGCUUACUCGGGGAUAGCCUUUCGAAAGAAAGAUUAAUACCCGAUGGUAUAAAGAGUUCGCAUGUUCUCUUUAUUAAAGAAUUUCGGUAAGCGAUGGGGAUGCGUUCCAUUAGAUAGUUGGCGGGUAACGGCCCACCAAGUCUACGAUGGAUAGGGGUUCUGAGAGGAAGGUCCCCCACAUUGGAACUGAGACACGGUCCAAACUCCUACGGGAGGCAGCAGUGAGGAAUAUUGGUCAAUGGACGAGAGUCUGAACCAGCCAAGUAGCGUGAAGGAUGACUGCCCUAUGGGUUGUAAACUUCUUUUAUAAGGGAAUAAAGUGAGGGACGUGUCCCUUUUUGUAUGUACCUUAUGAAUAAGGAUCGGCUAACUCCGUGCCAGCAGCAGC